CCGGCCUCGUCCUCGUCCUCGUCCUCGUCCUUAAAGUGCUUCUCCCGGCCGUUGCGCCGGCCGUCGGGGGAGCCGGGCGGGGCCGCGGCGCCGGGCGGGGCGGCGGCCCCCGGGGAGGGGUCGGGCCCCCCGAGCGCCCCGCCCCGCACGCGGGGCUUGCGGCCGCGGCGCGAGGGGACGCCGUUGCAGCCGUCCUUCUUGAGGUGUCUGUGCAGGUGGUCGGAGCGCACGAAGGUCUUGCAGCAACUGUCACACUGGUAGGGGCGCAGGCCGGUGUGCACGCGCAUGUGGUUCUUCAGGUCGUAGUUGUGCGCGAAGGCCGCCCCGCACUGCUGACACAGGGAACGGUGCGGAGCCAGCCAAGCUGGCCAACGGAUCAGCCCUAAAGCAACGACAGUCCGGGUGCUGCUCUGUCUCACACAGCAGCCACGGCUCUCACACGCGGCCCGAACCCUCGAGACGAGGCCUCUUCAAGCUGAGAUGGGCCGCCAAGUCCAAAAGGCGCCCCAGAUCUUGAAGGCUUCGUUCGCGUAACGUGUCCUGCAAACUGGCUCGCUUAGAGCUCUGUACGCUGAUUACGCGUUGAACGCAAGAAAAAUGGACGUCAAACACGACUCGAGUUACUUUCA